UACGGAGGGUGCAAGCGUUGUCCGGAUUUAUUGGGUUUAAAGGGUGCGUAGGCGGUCUUUUAAGUCAGUGGUGAAAUCCUCCAGCUCAACUGGAGAACUGCCAUUGAUACUGGAAGACUUGAGUAUAGUUGAGGUAGGCGGAAUUGACGGUGUAGCGGUGAAAUGCAUAGAUAUCGUCAAGAACCCCGAUGGCGAAGGCAGCUUACUAAACUAUAACUGACGCUGAGGCACGAAAGUGCGGGGAGCAAACAGG
rnacentral:rRNA from 1 species